rnacentral:rRNA from 1 species
AAAGCCACGGCGCCUUAGGAUGGGACUGCGGCGUAUCAGGUAGUUUUCAGGGUAAAAACCUGAAAAGCCGAUAACGCGUAGGGGCCAUGAGAGUGGAAGCCUCCAGAUGCCUUCUGAGACAUGAAGGCAGGGCCUACGGGUCGCAGCAGGCGCGAAAACUUUCCAAUGCAUUAGCGUGUGAGAGGGGAACCUUGAGUGAUACGGCUAUGCCGUAUCUUUUGCCAAGUCUAGACAGCUUGGCGAAUAAGAGGUGGGCAAGACGGGUGCCAGCCGCCGCGGUAAUACCCGCGCCUCGAAUGGUCAUCACGAUUAUUGGGUCUAGAGCGUCCGUAGCCGGUUGUGCAAGUCUCUGGUGAAAUCUGGCAGCAAACUGUCAGGCGCGCUGGAGAUACUACACGACUUGGGAUUGGGAAAGGGCUGAGGUAUUCGGCGUGUAGGGGUUAAAUCCUUUAAUCCGCCGAGGACCACCUGUGGCGA